UACGUAGGGUGCAAGCGUUAAUCGGAAUUACUGGGCGUAAAGCGUGCGCAGGCGGUGAUGUAAGACAGAUGUGAAAUCCCCGGGCUCACCUGGAACUGCAUUUGUGACUGCAUCGCUGGAGUACGGCAGAGGGGAUGGAAUCCGCGUGUAGCAGUGAAAUGCGUAGAUAUGCGGAGGAACACCGAUGGCGAAGGCAAUCCCUGGGCCUGUACUGACGCUCAUGCACGAAAGCGUGGGAGCAACAGG
rnacentral:rRNA from 1 species